CCUCUCGUCUCUAGGCCUGGCUGUCUGUGACGCGGCUGGAACCCGGGACCUCCUGUCUCUAGGCCUGGCUGUCUGUGACGCGGCUGGAACCCGGGACCUCCUGUCUCUAGGCCUGGCUGUCUGACGCGGAUGGAACCCGGGACCUCUCGUCUCUAGGCCUGGCUGUCUGUGACGCGGCUGGAACCCGGGACCUCUCGUCUCUAGGCCUGGCUGUCUGACGCGGCUGGAACCCGGGACCUCCUGUCUCUAGGCCUGGCGCUCAGCUCCCUGAGCCACCCAGCUGUCCCCACAUCAAAUACUUCUAAACCUUUUAAAUUAAAAAAAAAAAACACCUUUAAAAUGCUGAGAUGCGACCUAUCAAAUAGGUUUUUUAGGCUUCCUAAACGCUGAGUGCAUCCUGUCCCUCCUCUGCUCAAUGAACUCUGGUGGCUAAAACAAACUCCUGUAAAGUCUAAAGGCUUUCCACAGCCCGAGGCUGCCCCACCACCAUGCAGGCCUAGAGCCCAGGCUCCGGAAUCUGGCCAAGCGGGCCUCCUUUCUCGCUGCUCCUCCUAGAAGACGUUUUGUCUCCCUCGAUCCUAACUGGCCGCACGUCCCCAAGGCCUCCAGGGUCCCCCCACCUCCCCUGCUCCUCUAAGAAGCUCUCGUCCCCUUCCCAGGCCUGCUCCCAAGGCCGCGGCCCAUCGAAGACGAAACGAAGGACCUGGAACCGGAGAGGGAAACGCCUUCCGCUCCAAUGCCUGCUGGGACAUUCUGCCGGCGGGGAUGACGGCUGCCUUGAACAGGGCCCACUCGGAGAGUGGGGAGCCUGCAUUCCAGCGUCUCAGGCCUCAGGCCAGCCCUGUUGCUUUGCUUUUUGGCCUGGAAGGUCCUCAGGGCCUCCCUGGGCGCUGGCCUCUGCCAUGAGGCUCCCUCCCUUCCACACGCUUCUUCUCUACAUGAAAUUGGGUUAAAAACCAAAGAUCACGAGCGUCCAGUCAGGGGAAAUGAUGGUUAGGGACGAGCAGUCCAGGCUGGCGUGGGUCUGGGCCUUCAAACGAGAAGACUGGCGGAUGGCUACUGAGCUGGACUUGGGUCCCGGCUGAAUUCUUGGAGAGGUUCUUUUCUAAACAGUUUCUAAGCACUUAGAAAAAGCAGCACCCGCCGCGGCCUCCUUUCUUGGCAGGGUUACCGUGGCCGGCGUGUCCUUAGAUUUCAGGAAGGCCGCUCCUGUGACAGGAAAGGAGCAGGGAGGGCACGCUCGGAGGGACAUCACGAUGGCGUCCAGGGGCCUCUCCUCAGCCCUGCUUGUCAGCAUCUUAUCAACGAGACGGAUGCGGCCCAGAUGCUCAACAAAACUGUGGAGGGUCCGAGGUUGGACCAACAGGGGAGGUGGCAGAAUUGGGACUGAAAGAUCUUGACUGGCUAAAAAAGCGGGCCAGUGUGAGCACAAGGAAGCCUUCGGGUUUAAGGCCAAUCAACCAGACAAACAUGGGAGGUGAGAGAGAGAGCUCAAGAGCAGCUCAGGGGAAAAAGACCCCAUGGUUGGAGUGGAUGUCAAGCUUGAUGCGCCAAAUGUGGUGGAGAUUUUAGAUGGAUCGUGGAGGUCCAGCACCCACAACGAGGGAGGCUGUCAUUCCUCGUCUAGGUACCACACGGAGGCCAAACUUGAACUCAGGACUUCCUGUCUCUAAAUCCACUGCGCCACCUCGCUCCCCCAAAGAAAGGUUAUAAAUUAGGCAGUUGGAGCUCUCCCACAGUGGAAAUGAUGAUGCUCGGAGGACGUCUAACAUUUGUGGAAGGUGCUGGGGCUGGCCUGUCCCCGUAGGUGCACGGAUCCAGAGGGUUGCUUUUGGCCCUCUAAACAAUGAGUGGCCACUCCAGUCACACGAAGUUUGCCCUAACUUCUCGCCUUACAAGUGUUUGCUGGAAUGACCUGAAUCUGGUUACACAGUCCGUGAUCUCAUCUAGUCUUUAUCGCCAAUUUACUAAGAGUCUCUUUUCAUGGUUUUGGAAGACGUCGAGCCGUGAGACACCUUAGAGGUCGCCGAGUCUGACUCAUCCAUUCAAAGAGGCGGACACCAAGGUCCAGGGAAGGGCUGUGACUUGUCAGAGGUCCCCCACGCAUUGGGUACCAGAGAGAGAAACCAAACUCGGCUCUCUGGGCCGGUCCCUCCUCUCGCGUUCUUCCCGUUCCAUCCCUCUGUCUCACGGUAACUGAUGCCACUGACUCACGCGGGACGGCUUCGCGAGAAGGCAGGCUGGAGGGCAGGGCGGCCUCGCGCUGGGCUCCUGGUGCAGAGCAGGCCCCCAAGAAACACUGGCUGAAGAUCCUCCUUUACAAGCGAUGGGCGCUCCAAGGCGAGGGCUUGGGGUCUCUACCGCAUGGUUUUUUCACGUGAAAUGGACUUCUUUAUGUGAAGGAAACGAACUUUAAGAUCUGGGCUGUGCCGGCCCCGUGCCGGAUCUGACCGACGUUCCGGGCCCUCAGACUGUCCUUUCUCCUUUACUGUCCUCCUGGCCGAUCUGACAGGUGGUCCCUCAGAGUUGUUCUAAUGGACAUCAAGAGGGCUUAGAACAUUUUUUCAUAUGGUUUUUGAUAGCCUUGAUUUCUUCAUCUGAAAACUGCCCAUUUGUACCCUUUGGCCACUUAUCAACCGGGGAAUGGCAUUCUUUAUAUCUUCUCAAGGUUCCACCACUGCCCUUUACAGUCAGGGGCACACGUACCAUCUGGGCCAGAUUUCUACUUUAGAAUAAACCGAUCGGGCCACUUCGGCACCUCAGCAAGAUUGAGUUUCUCCUAAAACACACAAGUUGGUUCACAGUUCACUUUUAGGGCCAAGGAGGAAGCCUGCUAAACAAAGCCCACAUGGACAAAGCAAGAGAGAAAAGCCCCAGCAGGGAGAUGGAUCAGGAAGCCAGGAGAGAGGCAAGGACAGGCUGGGCUGGGCUGGGGGUGGAAGAAGGUCAAGGUCCCCAAAGGAAGACAUCCCUCAGGAACAGAGUCCUGCCAAACCAGCAGCCCCAGAGGGGGAAGAAUUCGGUUUCAGGAAAAGCCAUAAUCAAUGGGAAAUAGAAACCCGAGCGAUGAUAGAAUCAAUGGCCGGCAGCAAUUGUGCAGAAAUAAUGUACAGUAAUCAAAGAAGAGUGUGAAAAUGUAACGGAGAAGAUAGAGAGGGAUGGGACCGGGGAGACGCACAGCGGGACAAUGGAGCCUGGAAUGUUUGCAUUGAAAUGUGAGAGCAGAGCUGGGCAGGGAAAUGGCACCGGGGGAGCAAGCCCCAUUCCCACGGCAGCGGCAUCCCAUUGGCAACCGUCCUGUCCGGUUGGCUUCUUGGAGCACAGACACAUGGUGUUGGAAAGGGAAGAUGGGAAGGCCCAAGGACAACGUGGAGGGAUCCUGGGACUCCCUCGGCCCCUUUCUCAGACGAUUCGCUUAUUGGCCCACUUCUCGAGUCCCAGAGCAUCAGGGCAAAUCUGCGGGCAGAAGCCAUGCUCCUGCCCAGUGUUCUCUGGAGAGGCGUUUGGCGGCUGCUCUUGACUGCUAAUUACAUGGAAAGAAGCAAACACCGAGGCUGCGUUCUCAGGCCCAGGCAUCAGACUGGAAGAAGGGGUAUUACAGGAUGGCACAUCACUCACCCUGCAUCCCUAAGGAUACUAGGAACGACACGGACGAUGCCCCCUUCAUCAUCUUUGCCUCAUGCUCUCCUGGCUUUUAGAGAGGGCCUUGUUUAGUUGCUAUAGUCUGACUCUCAGGGAUCUGAUUUGGGGUUCUCCUGGCAAAGAUCCAGAGUGAUUUGCCAUUUGCUUUUCCAGGUAAUUUUGUAGAUGAGGAAACUGAGGCAAACAAGGCGAAGUUUUUAACAUAGCCAUAUGGGAACUGGCUAAUAAGGGCAGCUUGGUGGCACAAUGGAUAAAGCGUUGGCUCUAGAGUCAGGAACAUUUAUCUCGCCGAGUUCAAAUCUGGCCUCAGACUAGUGUGUGAUUAUGGGUGAGUUGCUUAGACUUGUCUGCCUCAGUUUCCUUACUUGUAAAAUGAGAUAAGAGAAGGAAAUGGCAAACCAGUACAGUAACUUUGUCAAGGAAACCCAAACGAGGCCAUAAAGAGACCUGACUGAAAUAACAAGACAAGAACUGGUUUAGGUGACUCUGCUUGUCACGAAAAUGUUCGUUUCUUUUUUCCCUAUAAGGCAGGAGAAGAAAAAUAAAGCCCUGCUAAGUAUAUGAGAUAAAAAUAACGCUCAAGAAGAGGUCUUGUUAAACCAAUAUAACUUCCUUUUCGGCAGGGUUCCUCACCUGACAGACCCAGAGAACACUGCAGAUAAGAGUUUAUCUCGUUUUUCACAAAGUCCAUGCAGUGAAUGAGAACUGGCUGGACAAACAAGCCCAGGGAAAAAGCCCUGAUGGUUCUCGGUCACUUCAGAAGUGGAAGGUUCAGAGUCUGUGGUUGCCCCCAGGCUGUUUAACGUUGGGACAAACUCCUUGGAUUGUCCAAUUUAUAGACGACACAGGGGCUGCUGGGAGGGAUAACUGACACAUUGGAUGAUCCAAAAAGCCCUGGGUGAAAUUCAGGAAGAAUAAAUGUAAACUUUUACCCUCUAAAAGAUGGGCCUUGUAAGUACAAGAUAGGAAGGCGCCGUUAGACAGCAACUUGUUUACAAAAGAUCUGAGAGUUUUAGUGAACUUCAGGUUAAACUUGACUCAAUGAUGGGAGACUACAGGCCCAAAACUCAAUGCAACCCUGGGCUGAAUUAAGAGGCUGAACUUCUUGGGAUAAGCAGGUGAGGCCCUUCCUUUCCUCUGUCCUGGUCAGCCCCCAUCUGAAGGCCUGGGCUCUGGGAAGGUCACUGAUAAGCUAGAGAAUGUCCCAUGGUGGACAAGUAGAAUGGUAAAGGGCCUCAAUGCCAGCUGAGGAUGAGUUGAAGGAAAUGAGGCUAUUUAGCUAAGAAAAGCCAACUCUCUGUACUGUGAUUAGCCUGGUGGAUGAUUCAUCUAGACCUGUAUUGGUGAACCUAUGGCACGUGUGCCAGAGGGGGCUGUUCCCCUCCUCCUCUCCACCACUAUUGAGGACAUUUCUCCCAUGCCCUGCCCCUCUGCCCAGCAGCCCAAUGGGAGUGUUUCUUCCUGCCCCUGUCAGGGGUGGGGGGAGGUGGCCCAUGUUGUGUGAGGGUGCAGUUUGGGCACUCAGCCUCUAAAAGGUUUGCCAUCACUGCUUUAGACAAGCUGGAUCCCAGAGAGCAAUGAAUACAAGUUGCAGAGGCCUAUUUGGACUCAAUGUCAAGGAAGAACUUCCUAACAUUUUGAACUGUCCAAAAGAGGCCUAAAGGCCUUGGGAAGGCCUGGGUUUCUCUUGAGUCUUUAAACACAACAUGGAUGACCUUUCACUGGGUAGGUAGGAGAGGGGCUUGGGAGCAUUGGCCUCAAUGGUUCUUUAAGUCCUUUCUUUCUGAAAUUCUCUAAUUUAUUUAGACAUAAUCUAUCUUAUACCUAUAAUCUAUUUAGAUCAAUACUUGAAUGUAAUUCAGGUUAGCCAAGUAUUUAAGUCCCUACAAUGUAUAGAAUGCUGAGCUGAGCACAGGGAAAGAUACAAAGUCCAGAUAAAAUCAUUCCUGCUUUCAUGGGCUUCACAGUUCAGUGGGGUAGUCACUAAAAGUAUUUUAAAAGUACCUACUGUGUGCCAGCACAGGCCCAGUCAAUGGGGCUCCUGAGGGGAAAAUGAAGUAGUCCCUGCACUAAGGGGACUCAGAAUUUUUUCGGAGGACAACAACAGGAACACAUAAAAGUUGCCAUGAAAUAUACACAAAGAAAUUUCCAGGGGCCAAGAAGUUGGGGCAGGAGGCACUGGCCAGUGAGGCUUCCUGUAGGAGGGCACAACAGACAAAUAACUGUAAUAUGGAAAUAAUUUCAGAAACAUUUGUAAUCGCAAAGAAUUGGAAACAACCUAAAUGUCAAUUUAUCAGCAACAAGUAAGUCAGUGAUAUUAAAAAUGGCAAAGGGGGCAAAUAAGUGCCUCAGUGGACUAAGAGCCAGGCCCAGAGAAGGGAGGUCCUGGGUUCAAAUGUGACCUCAGACACUUUCUAGCAUGACUCUGGGUAAGUCACCUAAUCCUGAUUGUCUAGCCCUUACUACUCUUCUGCCUUGAAACCAAUACAUAGUAUUGAUUCCAAGAUGGAAGGUAUGGGUUUAAAAAAAUGGAAAAUAUGAACAUGAAGAAAUGUGGAAAGACAGAAGAAAUUUGGAAGGAAGAAAGAUAAAUGGGAAGAACCAUAUACAGAGUAGCAGCCAAUUACAAAAGGAAAAUUAUACAUGUAAAUACAGAGAUCAAGCAGUGAAGAGAAGGGACUAGAGCAGUUCACAGAGGAUAGGGCUGGAGUCAGGAAGACCCAAGUUUAAAUCCAGUCUCAGACACAUACUAGACUAGUGCUGGGAGCCAUCAAAGACCAUGCUGUUUGACACGGUCCAUGUGGAAACCAUGGAAACACCUACCAAAACCCCCCUACGUUGACUUUCAUUAUUAACAUCCCCUUAUUAUUGGAAUUGCCAUGAUUAUUAUUCUUACUUAGCCCUAGGAAAAAUAGAUGAGAGCAACAUGCUUGCAGGGUUAAUACAGAUGUCCCACUCUGUCCCCCCAGGAUAUUACCAGGAGAGACCACUUACAAAAUUAAACCUAAGGAUUCUUAUAUACCCACUUAGAUAGGACCCUCUUUUCUAGGCAUAAAAACUUCUGGCAAAUCUGUGCUCUGAAUUCCCUAACCUAUAUCUGGGUCAUGUUGAUUCUACCCACUGAUCGUGCCCUUAGCAACAAUGUUUCAUUGACUAUCUCUCUAGGCUUCCUGUCUGUUGUUGGGUUCCAUGGAAACAUGCAUGUUGAGAAUGAAACUGUGUGCCAAGUAGAUGUGUGAUCACGAGGGUAUAAAAUAAAGCCAGGACUCAGCCAAGGUGGAACAGUUUAUGCUGUGAAAUGUGUGCUGCGGGUUGAAUGCGAAAGCUGUGUCCCAUCCAUCAUUUCACCAACACCAUCCCACCUCCAUGACCCCAUCCCUUGUGGAAGGCUGGCCCACCCCACAGCAGGCUAGUCACUUAACUGCUGCCUGCCUCAGUUUCUCUGCAAAAUUGAGGCAAUAAUUACACCUAUCUCCCAGGGUUGCUGUGAGGAUCAAAUGAGAUUAUAUGUCUAAAUCCUUUUGCAAACCUUAAAGCUCUAUGUAAGUGAUAACCAUUGUUAUUCAUUUCUAUUAAAAAGUUAUAAAUGAA